rfam:Asian citrus Psyllid, Diaphorina citri - Florida Strain, whole genome shotgun sequence.
GCUAGCGGCGAUAGGACGUUAAGUGCACCACUUCCCGAUGAAUCACUGAAGUUAAGCAACGUUACGCGUGGUUCGUAUCUGGAUGAGUGACCAUCUGGAAUAUCGCGUGCUUCUGUAU